ACUCAGUUAGUUCAGUUGGCAGAACACUAGAUAAUUUUAUAUUUUUUAUUUUAGAAAUGCAGGUUUGAUUCCUGUACUGAACU